rnacentral:rRNA from 1 species
AACGAACGCUGGCGGCAUGCCUAACACAUGCAAGUCGAACGAGACCUUCGGGUCUAGUGGCGCACGGGUUCGUAACGCGUGGGAACCUGCCCUUAGGUUCGGAAUAACUCCCCGAAAGGGGUGCUAAUACCGGACAAUGUCUUCGGACCAAAGAUUUAUCGACUUUGGAUGGGCCCGCGUUGGAUUAGCUAGUUGGUAGGGUAAAAGCCUACCAAGGCGACGAUCCAUAGCUGGUCUGAGAGGAUGAUCAGCCACACUGGGACUGAGACACGGCCCAGACUCCUACGGGAGGCAGGAGUGGGGAAUAUUGGACAAUGGGCGAAAGCCUGAUCCAGCAAUGCCGCGUGAGUGAUGAAGGCAUUAGGGUUGUAAAGCUCUUUUACCCGGGAUGAUAAUGACAGUACCGGGAGAAUAAGCUCCGGCUAACUCCGUG